rnacentral:rRNA from 1 species
UACGGAGGGUGCAAACGUUGCUCGGAAUCACUGGGCGUAAAGCGCACGUAGGCGGAUUUGUAAGUCAGGGGUGAAAUCCCGGGGCUCAACCUCGGAACUGCCUUUGAUACUGCAAAUCUCGAGUCCGGAAGAGGUGAGUGGAAUUCCUAGUGUAGAGGUGAAAUUCGUAGAUAUUAGGAAGAACACCAGUGGCGAAGGCGGCUCACUGGUCCGGUACUGACGCUGAGGUGCGAAAGCGUGGGGAGCAAACAGG